rnacentral:rRNA from 1 species
UACGGGGGGGGUAAGCGUUGUUCGGAAUUACUGGGCGUAAAGGGCUCGUAGGCGGCCAACUAAGUCGGACGUGAAAUUCCUCAGCUUAACUGGGGAACUGCGUCCGAUACUGGAUGGCUUGGAUUUGGGAGAGGGAUGCGGAAUUCCAGGUGUAGCGGUGAAAUGCGUAGAUAUCUGGAGGAACACCGGUGGCGAAGGCGGCAUCCUGGACCAAUAUUGACACUGAGGAGCGAAAGCUAGGGGAGCAAACGGG